GACGAACGCUGGCGGUGUGCUUAAUACAUGCAAGUCGAACGGCUCUUCGGAGCAGUGGCGGACGGCUGAGUAACGCGUAGGUAACGUGUCUCUUACUGGGGGAUAACAUCGGGAAACUGGUGCUAAUACCGCAUAAGUCACGAGUUGAAAUACUUGUGAUUAAAGAAUUUCGGUAAGAGAUCGGCCUGCGUCUGAUUAGCUAGUUGGUAGGGUAAUGGCCUACCAAGGCGAUGAUCAGUAGUUGGUCUGAGAGGAUGACCAGCCAGAGUGGGACUGAGAACGGCCCACACUUCUACGGAAGGCAGCAGUAGGGAAUUUUGCGCAAUGGGCGAAAGCCUGACGCAGCAACACCGCGUGCGGGAUGAAGGCCUUCGGGUCGUAAACCGCUGUCGGCAGGGAAUAAAUUGACUGUACCUGCAAAGGAAGCACCGGCUAACUACGUGCCAGCAGCCGCCGCAG
rnacentral:rRNA from 1 species